CUACCUUGGCUUGGGUACUUGCUAAGGUAAUUCUUCACCUCCGCAGACAAGAAGAACCCCAGCAUCAUUUUGGGAGGCUCGUCCGGGAUAACAUUGCAGCCUGCUUCUCCAGGCCACCCUGGCCUCUGAGUGAGGCAGGGGGCGUUCCUAACUCUCUUCUAACUUCAUCAGCAUCACGGACCCCGAUGCCAACCACCACAAGCCACCUAAAAGACAAUUAUCGUCGGCUACCAGUCUUAAGUCUUGUUGAAAGUUUCCUGGUGUAUGCCGUCCAUGAUCCCCUCCUCUCGAUAGAUGAGAAUGUUGGAGAGUGGCUGCGCGGAGCUCCUGCUUUCCCCUUGUAAGCUGCGGGCUGGGACGGCAGACCGGACUAGUAGAAAGUGGUCCUUCGAUCUCGGCUCCAGCUGUUGGAUCCGAUGGCGCUAAGUGAACCUCCGGCUAGGCUGCUGCCUAUGGGAGAGUCACAGAUGACCCCUGACCUCUUGUCUCACCGGUCAGAUUUCUUACAGUGGGUGACUAGCACGGUGAUUCCCAGGCAGUGGCAGAAACUGGUGUAAGUGCACAGGCCCUCCGUCAUAAAUGUCCGUGCCAGCCUCUGAAUUUUAUCUCUGGCUUUGGAAAAAGUUCCCUUGCUCCUCAUUCAAAGCCGUCCUGUUAGGGCUGUGCCCCUUUCUCCUGUAUAAUGUAAAUGAAGUCUUUGCAGUAGUCAGGCUGAAAGCUGAGUCCAACAUGUAAAUGGUUCUAUGCUAUUGACCUCCCUUCCUUAGAGGCAGCCAUCCCGGGGCUGUGGCAUUUCCCUACCUGUAGCUCCAGGGAAGGGAAACAGGCUUGGGAGUCUGACCAAAGCUCUGACAGGGAGAUGUCAGACAGUCCCUGCACUUAUCGGACAGGCAGGGGGCUCUCAAGGAAUGAUCCCAAGUGUACUAUGCUAAAGCUUGUGCAGAGAAAACUAGGAUCUAGAUUACAACUCCCCAAAGGCGUAAAGUGGGAGCACACUGGUAAGGUCGCACUAAAAGUCCAGAGCUCUGAGGCGACUCUUGCUUAGUGGGAAGGCAAGAGGGAGAUCAAGGCAAGGUGCAGGCCACGGUGGUAAGCAGUGGUGAAAGCCAGUAGGCCUGGCAGAGGAGGUGAUUGACCACUGUCACCCAGGCUCCAAGGCGAGGGAUGCCCUCACGGAGAGAGAGGCUGACCAGGUGCUGGGUGUGAGGCCCCACACAAGGAGCACCCUGGCUGGCCUGCAGGGGCCAAGGCAGGUGCAGACCCCGUAGGUCUUUGUGCCUGUGUGCUGAUGUCACCCCCGUGGUCCUGCCUGGUGGCCCUUCUCCAGAGAGCAUGGGUAGUCACAGGUAAAGGAGCCUCCUUUUGGGGACACCCACGGCUGGUGUUGGUUAGUGGCCCUUUGGUUGCUGAGGUGGCAGGCCAGCUAGAUUGCUGGGAAACUGCUCCUCUCUCUGCUGUCAAGAUGUGGACAUGGCGUUUCACUGCAUUUAGGCACUUAGAUGUGAGUGAGGUCUAUUUGGAAUGGUAUUGUAGGUUUUAGAGCUAUGUUUCUUUCUGUUCGUAUGAAAAAGGUGCUGAGCCUAAGGAGUUUGGUGAAAGUGGCAGGAAUUCUAAGAAUAUUUAUGUCCUUGCAUUUCUGUUAAGGGAAGUGAUUCUGAAGUAAUUUUUUACUCAUGUAUGAAAGUGAUGAGUAAAGUCACAUUAAACAUGUCGAGAUGAAGUGAUAAUGUAGUAGAAACAAAGUCCCUACACCUUGGCCUGAUACAUAGGAGACACACCAUUGGCGCUCUUUGCUCUCCUGUCCUGGUUCAUUACCUUAACUAAAACUUCAUGGUUCAGAGUGGUCCCAUCCACAUUUCAAGCAAAGUCUUCCUGAAACUGCAUAGAAACACUUGGCAGGAUAUCCCCAGAGGCUAGUGGAAAAAUUACUCUUUCUGAUCACUGUUUGCUUGCUAGUUGUUCUCUCUGUCCCACAUUCCUUUCCUAUUUCUGCAUUUCCUGUGAUUGCAGACCGAGAGGGGCAGUGGUGCCCGUCUCUGCUAGACGAGCCUUUGGGGCUGUUCAGGGGCCGUGCCUCUGCGGUGUUGGCAGUGCUCUUACCUUAAACAUAGCUUGUCCUGUGAAGUAUUCACGCGGGGUUACUUCUCUUAUGCAAUCAAAAUUGUAGAAAAACCAUUAGCUUUUUCUGAUCUCAGUUGUAUGUCAGAUCUAACCCUAUAUCUUAGGCACAUUAUAUGUUCCUUUUGAAUUGUAAGCAUAAAGCAACAGAUCACUUUUUAUGUUCACCUACGUCAUUAGCUAUAAAGAAUUAGAUCAACGUGUAAGUUUUAUCAAAUUGUGGAGCAUACCAGUGUUCUAGCUUUGAAUAAUUCUGUGUGAUCGCUUAAGAAUCAUCUACGUCUUAGCACACAGUUUACCAGCACCUACCAUCAU